GUCUCUGUGGUCUAGUGGUUAAGACUCGAGAAAUCCGUAACCCGGGUUCGAAUCCCGGCGGGGACA
rfam:Strongylocentrotus purpuratus Contig90375_fixed, whole genome shotgun sequence.